rnacentral:rRNA from 1 species
UGGGGAAUAUUGCACAAUGGGCGCAAGCCUGAUGCAGCCAUGCCGCGUGUGUGAAGAAGGCCUUCGGGUUGUAAAGCACUUUCAGCGAGGAGGAAGGUGGUGAGCUUAAUACGCUCAUCAAUUGACGUUACUCGCAGAAGAAGCACCGGCUAACUCCGUGCCAGCAGCCGCGGUAAUACGGAGGGUGCAAGCGUUAAUCGGAAUUACUGGGCGUAAAGCGCACGCAGGCGGUUUGUUAAGUCAGAUGUGAAAUCCCCGGGCUCAACCUGGGAACUGCAUUUGAAACUGGCAAGCUAGAGUCUCGUAGAGGGGGGUAGAAUUCCAGGUGUAGCGGUGAAAUGCGUAGAGAUCUGGAGGAAUACCGGUGGCGAAGGCGGCCCCCUGGACGAAGACUGACGCUCAGGUGCGAAAGGCGUGGGGCAGCAAACAGGAUUAGAUACCCUGGUAGUCCACGCUGUAAACGAUGUCGAUUUUGGAGGUUGUGCCCCUUGAGGCGUGGCUUCCGGAGCUAACGCGUUAAAUCGACCGCC